CAAAAUGUAGCUUAAAAAAGCAUCUCGCUUACACCGAGAAGACACCUGUGAAAACCAGGUCAUUCUGA
rnacentral:tRNA from 1 species